UGGCAAGCGUUGUCCGGAUUUACUGGGCGUAAAGGGCGUGCAGGCGGUUUGUUAAGUCUAGGGUGAAAGCUCCCGGCUCAACUGGGAGAGGUCCUUGGAUACUGGCAAACUUGAGGGAGGCAGAGGAGAGUGGAAUUCCCGGUGUAGUGGUGAUAUGCGUAGAUAUCGGGAGGAACACCAGUGGCGAAGGCGGCUCUCUGGGCCUUUCCUGACGCUGAGACGCGAAAGCGUGGGGAGCGAACCGG
rnacentral:rRNA from 1 species